CCGUACCGCAAACCGACACAGGUAGUCAAGAUGAGAAUUCUAAGGUGAGCGAGCGAACUCUCGUUAAGGAACUCGGCAAAAUGACCCCGUAACUUCGGGAGAAGGGGUGCUCUUUAGGGUUAACGCCCAGAAGAGCCGCAGUGAAUAGGCCCAAGCGACUGUUUAUCAAAAACACAGGUCUCUGCUAAACCGUAAGGUGAUGUAUAGGGGCUGACGCCUGCCCGGUGCUGGAAGGUUAAGAGGAGUGGUUAGCUUCUGCGAAGCUACGAAUCGAAGCCCCAGUAAACGGCGGCCGUAACUAUAACGGUCCUAAGGUAGCGAAAUUCCUUGUCGGGUAAGUUCCGACCCGCACGAAAGGCGUAACGAUUUGGGCACUGUCUCAACGAGAGACUCGGUGAAAUCAUAGUACCUGUGAAGAUGCAGGUUACCCGCGACAGGACGGAAAGACCCCGUGGAGCUUUACUGUAGCCUGAUAUUGAAAUUCGGCACAGCUUGUACAGGAUAGGUA
rnacentral:rRNA from 1 species